UACGUAGGCAGCAAGCGUUGUUCGGAGUUACUGGGCGUAAAGGGUGUGUAGGCGGUUUUUUAAGUUUGGUGUGAAAUCUCCCGGCUCAACUGGGAGGGUGCGCCGAAUACUGAAAGACUAGAGUGCGGGAGAGGAAAGUGGAAUUCCUGGUGUAGCGGUGAAAUGCGUAGAUAUCAGGAGGAACACCGGUGGUGUAGACGGCUUUCUGGACCGUAACUGACGCUGAGACACGAAGCGUGGGUAGCAAACAGG
rnacentral:rRNA from 1 species